UAUGUCGAGACACCCGCCUGUGGUUUUUGGGUCUCUAGACAUUCGGGGUUACUUUAUAUGACCAUUUUUGCAUACAGGAUGUCGCCCGAAAAAACGGAAACCCCGCUCUGUAAACUCAUUACAGAAUAUUUCUCGUUAGAGACACGACCUCGGAGCGAGGCUAGGGAAACAGAUACUAGCCAUUCUGUACGACAGACUAAAGCGCAACUCCAGACAUCAGGCCAACAGCCCCGAAGAGUUAUCAGCCCAGAACAGCUAAAACAUCAUCUGUGAAUCCGUCCUAAUGGAGCUUUCUGAAGUCCUUUACACAGCUGCUCCGGGGAAUAGAUGAUUGGGAACAGCCUUCGUUAGAGUGGGUUUCAGUGGAGCAAAACGCGUGCAGCCAGUCCCCAUCACACUAUUGUCGACCUGACAGACAAACAAAAAAGGAUCACGGAUGCUUCAAGUACUCUGAAUGAUGACAUAGAUGCUAUUCUCCCGUUCUGUACGAACGGCUUUACCCUAACUCCCCCAGGAACCAAGCUCCAUAUUUCAGACCCAAACAAGUAACGCACAACUUGUGCGCAAGUGCCUUGCGCAGAAUCACCCCGGCCCGAAAAGUUACUGCUUCAAGAAACGGCGCUACAUG